AAGCAAGUUCUUAAUAUUGAACAUUUGACUUUUUUUACUUUAGUAAUGGACAUCAAACAGAGACAGAAAGAUGAACAAAAGGUUCUUCAGCAGGAACUCAAGUCCCUCCCAAAAGGGGCAAGGGUAUACAAGCAACAACAGAAUAGUCAACUUUUCUUCAGAACUAGUAAAGACAAGGCUUUUGAGGGAUCUAAAAAAACAUUGGAUAGCUUAGUUCAAGAGUACCUAGAUGCUGAAAGACCUCCAGACUUAAAUGCAAAAUAGCACAUUCAGCAUGCGUGCAAUCAUCAUUAUGUUCAUAACAUCCAUACAUGUGAACUUUUUUUGAUGAUCAAGUGGGAGAUUUUUCUUCAAAAAGAGGGAAAUUUUAGAAUUUGAAAUAAACAAAGUAGGAAAUGCUGACACCAAAAGAAGGGAAAUUUCUUUAAUUUGUGAAAAUACACCUUAUUUUAAGCAAAAUCUUUGAAAAUAUGGCGACAGAAAGUGGGAUUUUCCUGCUGAAAAUGGGAGAGUUCACAUGCAUGAACAUCUGGGAGGGACAGUGAAACUCUAAGUUCCAUGGAUAAACAGUGAACACUGACGUUAAACACUUUGUUGUACAGACAAAUUCACCAUUCAUCAUGGUUACUAACACUUAAUGCUUUGUGACUUCAAAGAUGAAAGUCUUUAAAGUAUUUGUAACUAUGGUUACUAGGUUUUUGAGUUAAUCAUACAAAUCUGUGAUAAACAUUUUCUAAAGUUUGAUUUAAAGGUUCUGUUAUUA